UACUCAAAUGCUAGCUCACAUACUAAAUUCAAAUUUAAACUAAAAAUAACCCCCAAUACCCUGUAAAAUAACUCUAAAACAUUCUCUAACCCAAGUAAGGGAGACUGAAAAGGAAUAAUGAAGCUAUAAGACUAGUACCGCAAGGGAAAGCUGAAAAAGAAAUUAAAAAAAUAUUUAAGUUUAUAAUAGCAAAGAUUAGAUCUUGUACCUUUUGCAUCAUGAUUUAACAAGUUAAUUCAAGCAAAAAGAUUUUUAGUUUGUUUCCCCGAAACUAAGUGAGCUACUCCGAGACAGUCAAAACAAUUGGACUAACCCGUACCUGUGGCAAAAGGUUGGGAUGAGCUCCGAGUAGAGGUGAUAAACCAAACGAACUUAGUUAUAGCUGGUUGCCUGAGAAAUGAAUAAAAGUUCAGCCUAUAUUAUUUCCUAAAUCAAUUAAAAUUUUAAACAAAUAGAUUUAGCUGGUAUAAUAUAGAGUUAGUCAAAAGGGGUACAGCUCUUUUGACAUAGGAUACAACCUUAUUUUGAGGUUAAGGAUCAUAAAUAAAAAGUACACAAUAUGCCUUUGUGGGCCUGAAAGCAGCCACCAAAAUAGAAAGCGUUAAAGCUCAAGCACUAAUUAUACUUUAAUUCAGAUAAACGUUCCUAAACCCUUAUAUACAUCAGGCCUUUUCAUAGUCCAUGAAAAUGAUAAUGUUAAUAUGAGUAAUAAGAGAAAUUUAAGAUUCUCUCCUUAGCUAAAGUGUGCAUCGGAUCGAACUAAUCACCGAAAAUUAAUGACCCCAUAUUGAGGGAAAUGUUGUAAAAAAAAAUAACUAGAAAAAACAACAAUAAAAAUCAUCAACCCCACACUGGAUUGCUAACCAGGAUAAACUAAAAAGGUAAGAAGGAACUCGGCAAACACAAAAAUUAUAGCCUCGCCUGUUUACCAAAAACACCGCCUCUUGCGUAUAAUAGAAUAAGAGGUCCCGCCUGCCCUGUGACCAUAAGUUUAACGGCCGCGGUAUUUUGACCGUGCAAAGGUAGCGCAAUCACUUGUCUUUUAAAUAAAGACCUGUAUGAAUGGCAUAACGAGGGCUAAACUGUCUCCUUACCUAAGUUAAUGAAAUUGAUCUUCCCGUGCAGAAGCGGGAAUUAACCCAUAAGACGAGAAGACCCUGUGGAGCUUUAGAUGAAUAGAUGAAUUAAUAAAACAAUAACCCUUGUAAAAGACAACAAAUCUAUAACCUCAUCUUGAUAUCUUUAGUUGGGGCGACCGCGGAGUAAAACAAAACCUCCGUGAGGAUAGAGGUAAAACCUUAUACCUAAGAAUGCCAUUUCUAAGAACCAAAAUAUUUGACCUAAAGAUCCGGUAAUAACCGAUCAACGAACAUAGUUACCCCAGGGAUAACAGCGCAAUCCUCUUUAAGAGUCCCUAUCGACAAGAGGGUUUACGACCUCGAUGUUGGAUCAGGACAUCCUAAUGGUGUAGCCGCUAUUAAGGGUUCGUUUGUUCAACGAUUAAAGUCCUACGUGAUCUGAGUUCAGACCGGAGUAAUCCAGGUCAGUUUCUAUCUAUGAAGUGACCUUCUUCAGUACGAAAGGACCAAGAAGGAUGGGCCUAUGUUUUAAGACAAGCCCAAUUUUUAACCCUUGAAAAAAUAUUAAAGGUUAAACAACACAAAAUUAACUUAGAAUAUAACUACAUGUUAAGGUGGCAGAGUCCG
rnacentral:rRNA from 1 species